AUUGAACGCUGGCGGCAUGCCUUACACAUGCAAGUCGAACGGUAACAGGUCUUCGGAUGCUGACGAGUGGCGAACGGGUGAGUAAUACAUCGGAACGUGCCUAGUAGUGGGGGAUAACUACUCGAAAGAGUGGCUAAUACCGCAUGAGAUCUACGGAUGAAAGCAGGGGAUCGCAAGACCUUGUGCUACUAGAGCGGCCGAUGGCAGAUUAGGUAGUUGGUGGGAUAAAAGCUUACCAAGCCGACGAUCUGUAGCUGGUCUGAGAGGACGAUACGCCACACUGGGACUGAGACACGGCCCAGACUCCUACGGGAGGCCGCAGUGGGGAAUUUUGGACAAUGGGCGCAGGCCUGAUCCAGCGAUGCCGCGUGCAGGAUGAAGGCCUUCGGGUUGUAAACUGCUUUUGUACGGAACGAAAAGCCCCGGGUUAAUACCCUGGGGUCAUGACGGUGCCGUAAGAAUAAGCACCGGCUAACUACGUGCCAGCCGCCGCCGUAA
rnacentral:rRNA from 1 species